rnacentral:lncRNA from 1 species
UUUUAGAAGAAAUUAACUCAAAAUUUAACAAAAAGUUUGAAAAAAUAACUCAAAAUUUAACGAAAAUGACCAACUUAUGUUGAGAUCAAUAACAUAAGGAACCAACUUGAAACUUUUUAAACAUAAGGGACCAAAUUAAAACAUAAAAUAAAUAUAAGGGACCAAAUUUGCAAUUAAGCCAAAAUUAAACUAUAUAACUUAAAAUAAUACUUCAUGUAUAACCAAAAACUUGAAAUCAUCAACAAUAUACUAUGAACUAAUAUUUGCACUAAAAAUUAAACUAAUAUGUAUAUGAGAUACUUACAAAAUGACUUAAAAUUAUUUAUAAAAUUUUUAUUUUAGAAAAAUUUGGGCUGGGCUGGUGUGUCUAUAGCCACACCAAGCUUUGAACAGGUUCGCCCCUGUACAUGUGGUGGAAACAAAACAACAAAAUAUUCAACAUUGAUCUCUAAAUAUAUCGAAAUAACAAAUACAUAUCUAGUACAUCUUUUGUUAAUAAUUUUAUGGACUAUAUUGACUAGAAAAAACAUAUUUAAUAACCAAAUUGAUUACAUAAACAUAUACUAUUUGAGAACCAAAAUGACUAAUAAAGAAGAUACUUGAUGAUAUAAUUACAAUUUCGAUACAUAUAAUGACGAAUGUGACACUUAGAUACACUUUUGAGGAUCAAAAUGGUGAUUUGUACGUCCUACAAAUCUAUUAAUGUGAUUAAUUUUCAUGUCAACCACGAUUUAAAGGUGACUAAGAAAAAACCAUUUUUAAAUUAUUUGAAAAGGUAUUUAUUUUAUUUUUGUCAAUAGGCUAAAAUUUCAAAACUUAAAAUAAAUAGGGUUUAAAAAUCUGUGCAAUAGUCUCUAACG